ACCAGUGUUACAUAACGUCUGUAACCAGUGGGGGCUCGGCUAUUUCUGUCUUUUGCAUCAUGCAUAUGGGUGACUGAGCAGAGUAGCCUACUACUACAGCACCAAUAGGACUUAAUAGCAGCGAUGUGACGCAUGUCGGAGUUUGUUUGGGUUCUGAGCGCCACGUGGAGAGCAGCAGUGCAGCAGCGUUUACAGACACAGGCGACACUGCUGUGGAAUGUCUCCAACCCGCAGGGAUGUGCAGCGCGCCUGAUGAUUACCAUAUUACAGUCCCAGCUCUGUACGAAAACCUGGACGAUGAGAAAUACCAGCCGCUUCCUCCUCCACUGUCUCCAGUUCUUACACAGUUACCCGGAGAAGCUCCCGGGACAUCCAGCACAUCUCUUGAAGAGGAACAAAAGAUUGGUGGUUUACUCUUGUCUCAGAUGGAAGAAGAGCCGGUAAUGCAGAAGGAUGUGCCUCAUGCUGCUCUGGAUGUGGAAAAGCUCUUGUCUGAAAAUGGAAUACCUUCACUCUGGAAUGUUCUCUGCAAGACAUCAUUCAAAGGACAAGGGCAUGAAGUGAGUCCUUACCAACUAGUCAAUUUUAGUUUAAAGAGUCCAGUGCGGUAUUGCGUAACUGGUUG